rnacentral:rRNA from 1 species
AAUCCUCGAGGGACGACCUAUGGCGAAGGCAGUUUACCAGAACAGCUUCGACAGUGAGGGACGAAAGCUGGGGGAGCAAACGGGAUUAGAUACCCCGGUAGUCCCAGCCGUAAACAAUGUGCGUUAGGUGUGUCGGUAACCACGUGUUACUGAUGCGCCGAAGAGAAAUCGUGAAACGCACCACCUGGGAAGUACGGUCGCAAGGCUGAAACUUAAAGGAAUUGGCGGGGGAGCACCACAACAGGUGGAGCCUGCGGUUUAAUUGGAUUCAACGCCGGACAUCUCACCGGAUAAGACAGCUGAAUGAUUGUCAAUCUGAAGGUUUUACAUGACUAGCUGAGAGGAGGUGCAUGGCCGUCGUCAGUUCGUACUGUGAAGCAUCCUGUUAAGUCAGGCAACGAGCGAGACCCA